AGUUGCGACGUUCAGUUAGGUUUUAUCUUAUUCCCCUGUUACUUCUCAGCAGCAAUUGUCUAGGGUUUCGGAGUCGAAGAAGGGUAAGGUUUUUCGUUCGCCAUGAGAGCCAAGUGGAAGAAGAAGCGUAUGAGGAGACUGAAGAGGAAGCGCCGAAAGAUGAGACAGAGAUCCAAGUAGUGCGUUAAUCCUAGUUUAUUUCUGUUGUUUUUACAAUUGUCUAUGUUGUCAAAUGGGACACCCAGCUGUUAGUGGCACUGGUCUCUCCCUUUUGAUGUUUUGAUACAAUUUGUUGGGUCUUAUUAGUUUAUGUUUGUCUUAUAUUAUUAGCUGAGAACAGUUAUGUUACUGCGUUUGCGAAUCAAAUGGAUUUCUUAUCUUUAUUUCUGA